UGCCCCUUGGCAAAAAUAAGUCGCAACUGGAUUGACCUAGUAGCUCCUUUUGAGCGAAAAGCCGAUAGACUAAAUAAGAA
rnacentral:ncRNA from 1 species